rnacentral:rRNA from 1 species
GACGAACGCUGGCGGCGUGCUUAACACAUGCAAGUCGAGCGGAAAGGCCACUUCGGUGGUACUCGAGCGGCGAACGGGUGAGUAACACGUGAGUAAUCUGCCCCUGGCUUUGGGAUAGCC